GACGAACGCUGGCGGCGUGCUUAACACAUGCAAGUCGAACGGAAAGGCCCUGCUUGCAGGGUACUCGAGUGGCGAACGGGUGAGUAACACGUGGGUGAUCUGCCCUGCACUUCGGGAUAAGCCCGGGUAACUGGGUCUAAUACCGGAUAGGAGCCAUUUUUAGUGUGAUGGUUGGAAAGUUUUUUCGGUGUAGGAUGAGCUCGCGUCCUAUCCGCUUGGUGGUGGGGUAAUGGCCUACCAAGGCGGCGACGGGUAGCAGGCGUGGGAGGGUGGACGGCCACAUUGAGACUGAGAUACGGCCCAGACUCCUACGGGAGGCAGCAGUGGGGAAGAGUGAACAAUGGGAACAAGCCUGAUGCAGCGACGCCGCGUGGGGGAGGACGGCCUUCGGGUUGUAAACGCCUUACGCUAGGGACGAAGCUGUUUGUGACGGUACCUAGAGAAGAAGCACCGGCUAACUACGUG
rnacentral:rRNA from 1 species